UACGAAGGGGGCUAGCGUUGCUCGGAAUUACUGGGCGUAAAGCGCACGUAGGCGGCUUGUUAAGUCAGGGGUGAAAUCCUGGAGCUCAACUCCAGAACUGCCUUUGAUACUGGCGAGCUUGAGUUCGGGAGAGGUGAGUGGGAACUGCGAGUGUAGAGGUGAAAUUCGUAGAUAUUCGCAAGAACACCAGUGGCGAAGGCGGCUCACUGGCCCGAUACUGACGCUGAGGUGCGAAAGCGUGGGGAGCAAACAGGG
rnacentral:rRNA from 1 species